rnacentral:rRNA from 1 species
UGCGGGGGGGGCAAGCGUUGUUCGGAAUUACUGGGCGUAAAGGGCUCGUAGGCGGCCAACUAAGUCAGACGUGAAAUCCCUCGGCUUAACCGGGGAACUGCAUCUGAUACUGGAUGGCUUGAGUUCGGGAGAGGGAUGCGGAAUUCCAGGUGUAGCGGUGAAAUGCGUAGAUAUCUGGAAGAACACCGGUGGCGAAGGCGGCAUCCUGGACCGACACUGACGCUGAGGAGCGAAAGCCAGGGGAGCAAACGGG